rfam:Gossypium arboreum cultivar AKA8401 contig_2684_3, whole genome shotgun sequence.
AAUCAAUGAUGUAGGCAUUUCUAAAUCAGCGUUAUAAAACGCUCUUAAGCUUCGUGAAAAGUUUCUCCCUUUAACUGUUUAAACAUAAAAACCUCCCUUAUUAGCU